rnacentral:rRNA from 1 species
AGUAGUUUGAUCAUGGCUCGAGGACGAACGCUGGCGGCGUGCUUAACACAUGCAAGUCGAACGAGACGAUUUUAAGCUUGCUUAGAUGAGUCGAGUGGCAAACGGGUGAGUAACGCGUAGACAACCUGCCGCAAAGAUGGGGACAACAGUCCGAAAGGACUGCUAAUACCGAAUGUUGUCAGUUUCUCGCAUGGGAGACUGAUUAAAGAUGGCCUCUACUUGUAAGCUAUCGCUUUGCGAUGGGUCUGCGUCUGAUUAGGUAGUUGGUAAGGUAAGAGCUUACAAAGCCGACGAUCGGUAACCGGUCUGAGAGGAUGAACGGUCACAUUGGAACUGAGACACGGUCCAGACUCC